rnacentral:rRNA from 1 species
UACGUAGGUGACAAGCGUUGUCCGGAUUUACUGGGCGUAAAGAGCGCGCAGGCGGUCGUUCAAGUCGAGUGUGAAAGCCCCCGGCUCAACUGGGGAGGGUCAUUCGAUACUGAUCGACUCGAAGGCAGGAGAGGGAAGUGGAAUUCCCGGUGUAGUGGUGAAAUGCGUAGAUAUCGGGAGGAACACCAGUGGCGAAGGCGGACUUCCUGGCCUGUUCUUGACGCUGAGGCGCGAAAGCUAGGGGAGCAAAGCGGG